rnacentral:rRNA from 1 species
AGUGAACGCUGGCGGUAGGCCUAACACAUGCAGGUCGAACGGCAGCACAGUAAGAGCUUGCUCUUACGGGUGGUGAGUGGCGGACGGGUGAGGAAUACAUCGGAAUCUACUUUUUCGUGGGGGAUAACGUAGGGAAACUUACGCUAAUACCGCAUACGACCUACGGGUGAAAGCAGGGGAUCUUCGGACCUUGCGCGAUUGAAUGAGCCGAUGUCGGAUUAGCUAGUUGGCGGGGUAAAGGCCCACCAAGGCGACGAUCCGUAGCUGGUCUGAGAGGAUGAUCAGCCACACUGGAACUGAGACACGGUCCAGACUCCUACGGGAGGCAGCAGUGGGGAAUAUUGGACAAUGGGCGCAAGCCUGAUCCAGCCAUACCGCGUGGGUGAAGAAGGCCUUCGGGUUGUAAAGCCCUUUUGUUGGGAAAGAAAAGCAGCAGGUUAAUACCCCGCUGUUCUGACGGUACCCAAAGAAUAAGCACCGGCUAACUUCGUG